GGGCCGUUAGCUCAAUUGGUAGAGCAACUGACUCUUAAUCAGUAGGUCGUAGGUUCGACUCCUACACGGCCCACCA
rnacentral:tRNA from 1 species